GUGACGGCGUGCCUUUUGCAUAAUGAACCUACGAGUUACCGUCGUCGGCAAGGUUAAGUGCUAUGAAGCACGUAAGCCGAAGCGAAAGCGAGUCUGAACAGGGCGCAUAGUCGGCGGUGGUAGACGCGAAACCAAGUGAUCUACCCUUGUCCAGGUUGAAGUCCCGGUAACACGGGAUGGAGGACCGAACCAAUAAGCGUUGAAAAGCUUCUGGAUGAGGUGAGGGUAGGAGUGAAAGGCCAAUCAAACUUGGAGAUAGCUCGUACUCCCCGAAAUGCAUUUAGGUGCAGCCUCGGGCGUUCCCUGUGUGAGGUAGAGCGACUGAUUGGAUGCGAGGGCUUCACCGCCUAUCAAGUCCAGACAAACUCCGAAUGCACACAGGCUAAGCCCGGGAGUGAGGGCGUGGGUGCUAAGGUCCACGCCCGAGAGGAGAAGAAUCCUGACCACCGGCUAAGGCCCCGAAAUAUAGGCUAAGUUAAACUAACGAAGUGUGGUCCCCGUGACAGCUAGGAUGUUGGCUUGGAAGCAGCCAUUCAUUCAAAGAGUGCGUAACAGCUCACUAGUCGAGGGACUGUGCAUGGAUAAUAAUCGGGUAUAAAGUCUAUUGCCGAAGCCGUGGGAUAUCUAAUGAUAUCGGUAGGGGAGCAUUCAUGCGGCCUUGAAGAUAGAGGAUAACCUCUGUUGGAGCUUCAUGAAAAGCAAAUGUAGGUAUAAGUAACGAUAAAGAGUGUGAGAUGCACUCUCGCCGAAAGACUAAGGUUUCCAGGGCAACGUUAAUCGCCCCUGGGUCAGUCGGGACCUAAGGUUCAACCUAAUGGUGAUGCCGAUGGCAGAAACGGUUAAUAUUCCGUUACUAUCUUUGUUGGCGAUGUGGAGACGGAGGAGUGACACUUCCGCGAGCUGACGGAAUAGCUCGUUAAAGACCGUAGGUAAUGAGGAUGGCAGGCAAAUCCACCAUCUGAGCUGAAAGUUGAUAGUAUACAGCGUCUUCGGACAAUGUAAUAGUGAAGGUAAUCCUACUCCCGAGAAAAUCCGCUAAGCUUAACAUCAAAGAUACCCGUACCGUAAACGGACACACGUAGUCGGGUAGAAUAUACUAAGGCGCUUGGAAGAUUCAUGGUUAAGGAACUAGGCAAAUUGACCCCGUAACUUCGGAAUAAGGGGUCCUCACAGUAAUGUGAGGCGCAGAGAAUCGGCCCAGGCAACUGUUUAACAAAAACACAGGGCUGUGCAAAAUCGAAAGAUGCAGUAUACAGUCUGACACCUGCCCGGUGCUGGAAGGUUAAGAGGAGAGCUUAGAUGCAAGUCGAAGGUUUGAAUUGAAGCCCCAGUAAACGGCGGCCGUAACUAUAACGGUCCUAAGGUAGCGAAAUUCCUUGUCGGGUAAGUUCCGACCUGCACGAAUGGUGUAAUGAUCUGGGCACUGUCUCAACCAUGAUUCCAGUGAAAUUGUAGUAUCGGUGAAGAUGCCGAUUACCCGCGAUGGGACGAAAAGACCCCGUGAACCUUUACUAUAGCUUAACGUUGUAAUUGGGCAGUCGAUGUGUAGGAUAGGUCGGAGGCAAUGAAGCAGGCACGCCAGUGUUUGUGGAGCCGCUGUUGAAAUACGACCCUUUGGCUGUCUGGUUCCUAACUCUCAGAUGAGAGGACCGCGUUUGGUGGGUAGUUUGACUGGGGUGGUCGCCUCCAAAAGCGUAACGGAGGCUUCUAAAGGUGCCCUCAGGCCGAUUGGUAACCGGCCGUAGAGUGUAAUGGCAAAAGGGCGCUUGACUGAGAGACCUACAAGUCGAUCAGGUGCGAAAGCAGAGCAUAGUGAUCCGGUGGUUCCGUAUGGAAGGGCCAUCGCUCAAAGGAUAAAAGGUACUCCGGGGAUAACAGGCUGAUCCCUCCCAAGAGCUCAUAUCGACGGAGUGGUUUGGCACCUCGAUGUCGGCUCGUCACAUCCUGGGGCUGGAGAAGGUCCCAAGGG
rfam:Prevotella sp. oral taxon 473 str. F0040 genomic scaffold Scfld19, whole genome shotgun sequence.